rnacentral:rRNA from 1 species
UCCGUAGGCGGAUAAUUAAGUCAGAGGUGAAAUCCCACAGCUCAACUGUGGAACUGCCUUUGAUACUGGUUGUCUUGAGUUACAGUGAAGUAGAUAGAAUAUGUAGUGUAGCGGUGAAAUGCAUAGAUAUUACAUAGAAUACCGAUUGCGAAGGCAGUCUACUAACUGUAUACUGACGCUAAUGGACGAAAGCGUGGGGAGCGAACAGGAUUAGAUACCCUGGUAGUCC